rnacentral:rRNA from 1 species
UGGGCAACCUGCCCUCAGCUCUGGGAUAACUCCAAGAAAUUGGGGCUAAUACCGGAUAUGACCGCUGACCGCAUGGUCUGGUGGUGGAAAGAUUUAUCGGCUGGGGAUGGGCCCGCGGCCUAUCAGCUUGUUGGUGGGGUAGUGGCCUACCAAGGCGACGACGGGUAGCCGGCCUGAGAGGGUGUCCGGCCACACUGGGACUGAGACACGGCCCAGACCUCCGUACGGGA